UCAUCUUUAGACAUUACAACGGAGAAGCAACAUCAGAGAUGAGUUUUGCUUUAAAUAGAAGCUCUGCUUUUGGGAAUUAACUUCAGAACAUUUGAAAGUUACCUAUUUGUGUGCUGCAAUCUUCUAUCUGCUUGUUGAGGCGGGUAUGGAGGCUGAGUAAUUGAUAUCCCAAACUAGAAAGUUCCCCUACUGCUCUUCUUGACUCCGUUGAAAGUUCCUGUGCUGCUUUCCUUGUUUUUGUUGCCUAAGUAUUUCAGAGAAUUCCUAGCUAUGAGAAAAUUUGAUGUUGACUGCUAAUAUGCUAAAAACAAUUUCUCUGCUGCUCUUCCAUUUGUUUCUUUUUGGAAGGAAGAUAGAAGAAGGGUGGAAAAAUAAACAAUGGACCUGCUGGGUUUGCCUGAAAUAAGGGAUUUGCUGCAGGCAUGCAAGUGCACUUUUGACAACCCGGCAACUGGUUGAGUGUUGCAAUUGAAGCUGCGACCGGAUCACAGAAGGCUAGAUGAACUGGUAGCAAUAGUCCUCCAAAUGUUGCAGCAAGGACUCCAAGUACUAAUACAGCUUUUGCGUCCCAUCGGUAUUCUUUCAGAAGAUCAAACAAAGCCAUUGUUCUUGUCUGGAUCUCAUUUUCCCCCAUGCAAGGACAAAGCAUCUGCAACCGCAAGAGUUUCAAGAUUUGCGGCUCCAAGGAAUUUUCCAGGGAGGGUUGUUUUGAGAAGAAAGGAUGAUCUUUUUACCUGAACAGAGAUUCUGGAGAUAGCAUAUGGUAGUGUUUCCUUUGAGUCAAAAACUUGAACGUUGGUGAUACAAUUCUCUGUCAUAAGCGGUCUAGGAACCUG